rnacentral:rRNA from 1 species
GACGAACGCUGGCGGCGUGCUUAACACAUGCAAGUCGAACAGAAAGGCCCUGCUUUUGUGGGGUGCUCGAGUGGCGAACGGGUGAGUAACACGUGAGUAACCUGCCCUUGACUUUGGGAUAACUUCAGGAAACUGGGGCUAAUACCGGAUAGGAGCUCCUGCUGCAUGGUGGGGGUUGGAAAGUUUCGGCGGUUGGGGAUGGACUCGCGGCUUAUCAGCUUGUUGGUUGGGUAGUGGCUUACCAAGGCUUUGACGGGUCGCCGGCCUGAGAGGGUGACCGGCCACAUUGGGACUGCGAUACGGCCCAGACUCCAACGGGAGGCAGCAGGGGGGAAUAUUGCACAAUGGGCGGAAGCCUGAUGCAGAAACGCCGCGGGCGGGAUGACGGCCUUCGGGUUGUAAACCGCUUUCGCCUGUGACGAAGCGUGAGUGACGGUAAUGGGUAAAGAAGCACCGGCUAACUACGUG